UGAAGAACGCAGCGAAAUGCGAUAAGUAAUGUGAAUUGCAGAAUUCAGUGAAUCAUCGAAUCUUUGAACGCACAUUGCGCCCUCUGGUAUUCCGGGGGGCAUGCCUGUUCGAGCGUCAUUAUAACCACUCAAGCUCUCGCUUGGUAUUGGGGUUCGCGGUUCCGCGGCCCCUAAAAUCAGUGGCGGUGCCUGUCGGCUCUACGCGUAGUAAUACUCCUCGCGAUUGAGUCCGGUAGGUCUACUUGCCAGCAACCCCCAAUUUUUACAGGUUGACCUCGGAUCAGGUAGGGAUACCCGCUGAACUUAAGAAUAUCAAUAAGCGGAGGA
rnacentral:misc_RNA from 1 species